GGAAGAGCGGAGGAAGGGGCGGCGAGGGGGCGGGCCGGCGGCGGCCAGGGAGGUCGGAGUGCGCGGGGCUCGGCACCCCCUCGGCCCGCGCUGCGCCAGCACCACCUGCGGAGCUGCGGUGCCCACGCCGUGCCGCGACCCCGCCGCCCCUGCUCCCUCCACACGCGGGCAAACAAAACAAGUUGCCGGUCGCUGCCGCCGGAGGGGGCCGGGCGGGUCACUCACCCUCAUCCUGCUCAGCGGGCUUGGGUCGUCCGGCCGCGGGGUCAGGGAAGACCAGAGGACCACUAGCCCCAGGAAGCUUCCCACCACCAGCAAACUGCGUGGUGAAUUUGUAACCGAAAGGCCCAGGUGAGAUGUGCAAAUAUCACUGGAUUGGAGGAGCUCACUUGGAAAGCCAGUAUUCCUCCUGAGCUAAUGAAAAGAAAGGCUGUCGUCUUAUGCCAAAAGCAAUACCAACCUUGUUCACGGGCUGGUCAUCAAGACCAUGGCUUCCAUCGUAGGCAGUCACACUCUUUC
rnacentral:lncRNA from 1 species